rnacentral:rRNA from 1 species
CACGUAGGGCGCAAGCGUUGUCCGGAAUUAUUGGGCGUAAAGAGCUCGUAGGCGGUCUGUUACGUCUGCUGUGAAAACCCGGGGCUUAACCCUGGGCUUGCAGUGGAUACGGGCAGACUAGAGGCAGGUAGGGGAGAAUGGAAUUCCCGGUGUAGCGGUGAAAUGCGCAGAUAUCAGGAAGAACACCUAUGGCGAAGGCAGCUCUCUGGGACGGUACUGACGCUGAGACGCGAAAGCGUGGGGAGCGAACAGG